UACGAAGGGGGGCUAGCGUUGCUCGGAAUCACUGGGCGUAAAGCGCACGUAGGCGGAUUGUUAAGUCAGGGGUGAAAUCCUGGAGCUCAACUCCAGAACUGCCUUUGAUACUGGGGAUCUCGAGUCCGGAAGAGGUGAGUGGAACUCCGAGUGUAGAGGUGAAAUUCGUAGAUAUUCGGAAGAACACCAGUGGCGAAGGCGGCUCACUGGUCCGGUACUGACGCUGAGGUGCGAAAGCGUGGGGAGCAA
rnacentral:rRNA from 1 species